AUUGAACGCUGGCGGCAUGCCUUACACAUGCAAGUCGAACGGCAGCACGGGUGCUUGCCCCUGGUGGCGAGUGGCGAACGGGUGAGUAAUACAUCGGAACAUGUCCUGUAGUGGGGGAUAGCCCGGCGAAAGCCGGAUUAAUACCGCAUACGAUCUACGGAUGAAAGCGGGGGACCUUCGGGCCUCGCGCUAUCGGGUUGGCCGAUGGCUGAUUAGCUAGUUGGUGGGGUAAAGGCCUACCAAGGCGACGAUCAGUAGCUGGUUUGAGAGGACGACCAGCCACACUGGGACUGAGACACGGCCCAGACUCCUACGGGAGGCAGCAGUGGGGAAUUUUGGACAAUGGGCGAAAGCCUGAUCCAGCAAUGCCGCGUGUGUGAAGAAGGCCUUCGGGUUGUAAAGCACUUUUGUCCGGAAAGAAAUCCUUGGCCCUAAUACGGUCGGGGGAUGACGGUACCGGAAGAAUAAGCACCGGCUAACUACGUG
rnacentral:rRNA from 1 species